rnacentral:ribozyme from 18 species
UUGACAAAAGAAGAAAAGACAGAAUAAAUCAGCAACUUCAACGUGAAUAAUCAUGCCAUUAUCUGUUCAUUUUGAGUUCUUUUUUCUAUUCAGCUCCAGAUUCUUUAUCC